rnacentral:rRNA from 1 species
UACGUAGGGACCAAGCGUUGUUCGGAUUUACUGGGCGUAAAGGGCGCGUAGGCGGCGCAACAAGUCACUUGUGAAAUCUCCGGGCUUAACCCGGAGCGGUCAAGUGAUACUGUCGUGCUAGAGUGCGGAAGGGGCUACUGGAAUUCUCGGUGUAGCGGUGAAAUGCGUAGAUAUGCGGAGGAACACCGAUGGCGAAGGCGGGUCUCUGGGCAGUAACUGACGCUGAGGAGCGAAAGCGUGGGAGCGAACAGG